rnacentral:lncRNA from 1 species
AAAGCAGCCUAUACAAUAUGUAACGAAAGGCCUCCCCAAAGUCCAAGUCAACCAAAAAGGAUCUCCAGAUGGCUCACCCACGAUUAGGUCUUCUUCAAUUGUUCCAGGAGGAUUAAUUAGUCACCACCACGAGUAUGAGGACCAAAUCAAGAGGCAAUAUGGCAGAGAAAGAGAGAGGGAGGGAGGCCCUCGCCUACUGAUGAGGGAGUUUGCACUGCUGUUGGGGGAGAGAGGCAAUAAACAUAGAAACCGAUUAAUUUCAGAAAGGGUGCAGCUUGGGAAUUGAAGGUUUUAGAAGUUUCCUUAGUGGUUCCAAUGUUCAGCCAAGGCUGAGAACCAUGGCUGUAAAUCAAUGGUUCUUACAGUCCCCAGACCAGCAGCAUCAGCAUCACUUGGUAACUUAUUAGAAAUGCAAAUCCUAUAUGGGCUUUAUUGUUUUCAGGCAAUUUCUUUCUAUUCCUAAUUUGUUGAAAGUUUUUAUCAUUAAAG